UCACAUCCCGAUAGCAAACAAUAAGUUAAGUGGUCUAUAUUUAUUUAUAUAUAUUAUUAUACUGGGAGGGUGGGAAUCUUAUGCUUUUAAAGCUAGCUUGCUAUUGCUAGCCUUUAUGAAAUCGCCUACCCUACCUUUAUGUAGUUUAAAUUGUUUAACAGUUUCCUGUUGAUUUUUAUUUCAUUCAGGUCGGGGUGUGUUUGCAAAAACCCCUAUCUUACAAGGUUCCUUUAUUCUCGAGUACAGAGGAACUUUAGUGGAAAAAGGGAAAUUGGGAAAAAUUAAUAAUAAUAAUUAUGCAUACUUUUUCAAACACGGAGGGCGCGUGACUGCUGGUGAGUAGCCUGUAUUUGACUGUAUGUAAACCCCUGUGGAUUGUUUUUAAAAUGUGUUUCUUAACCCUGAAACUAAGUAUCACACAGUUUUGGGGCAGGUUAAAGUGAUUACUAAUGAUGUAUUCAUUUCUAGAGCAUAACUUUAGUGAACAUUUGUAACAUUAAAUUUUUUUCCCAUAUAGCAUCGAUGCCUCCUUAGAUGACGGCUCUCUUGGGAGACUAGUAAACGACAGUCAAAAGUCAAAUGGCAAAAUAAAAAAAAUUGAACUGGGCGGAAAGCCUCAUCUUUGUUUAUUUGCUAUAAAAGACAUAAAUAAAGAUGACGAGAUUACAUAUAAUUAUGGAGGACAAGACUUGCCAUGGCGUUCUUACUGUGGGCAGGAACUGUGCAAGUUUGUCCAUGAGCCUGUCGCUCCAGCCAUUACGGGAAGUGAAGUCACUUCUGCUAAAGAGUUUGUCCAUGAGCCUGUCGCUCCAGCCAUUACGGGAAGUGAAGUCACUUCUGCUAAAGAGAGCCUUUGAAAAGGAGGAAACUGUGCCCGAAGGACACAUCUGAUGGACCAAACACUGAAAGAAAUCUCUCUGAAAACAAUGUCUCUAGCAGAGGAAAACGGACAGCCAAAAGGCCAUGGAAAAAAUCUGAGGUGAAUGCUGUUAUGCGACACUUCAGACAACACAUAACUAAAGGUUGCUUGGCAUCGAUGAGGGAGUGUGAGGUCUGCAAAAAUUUAGAGAAUCCAGUCCUACAACACCGGACGGUCCAAAAUAUUAGAGACUUUGUCCGUAACCGAGGGGUAACCUUAAAACGCAUGGAGUUUUAUUAAUUAGUAUUUAAAUUACUUUACAUUUUUAGAAGUAAAGUUUUGUUACUCCAGUCACAAGUGACAAUAUUCUGAAUGCAAUUUAAUGUAAAGUGCUGUCAAAAGAUUAAUCACAAUUAAUCGCAUUCCAAAAUACGUUUUUUACAUACUUUAUACACACAGAUACAGUAUAUAUUUUGAAAAU